rnacentral:lncRNA from 1 species
CCUCACAGGAUGUCUGAUCCAAUAUGCACGUCAACGGCAGACGGGAUUGCCAAGUAGUGAUCAAUUGCCCAAGAAUUAUGAAGUAAGAAUGUAAAUAGACUGACAGAGAUAUGAGAAUUGAGGAAGACAUAAAAGUUUUAAGCGUAUAUUGUUUUCUGUCUGAGGUUUCAUAUUUAAAGAACUCCUCAUACCCUUUUAAAAGGAAUAUGACUUUUCAAAUAAAACACAACUCUUAAAUAUUAUAAAUAAAUAAAAUAAAAUAAUAAUAAGUUUGGAAUCUUUAAAAUAAAAUAUUAUUAAAAUAAUUAAAA